rnacentral:lncRNA from 1 species
AUGUUUAUCUUGGGAACACAGGAUAAGAAGGACUUCUUGGGCCACUUGUUGCAGCUGCUUCCAGCUGAGGGAUAUAUCUCUGCCUCGCAAGGAGUGAUUACCCCACUUGGCUCUAACCCAGUCAGCCCAGGUAGCAGCGCAGGACGGCACAGGAUCACUUUUGGCAAAACAGCUGGGGAUUCGACAUUUUUAUCGGAGUUCCUAGCAUUUUUAUCAGAAGAGUGUUCUUGAAGAGAGCUGGUUGGCAGGAUACCGGCAGGCACGGCUGCUUGCCCCGCAGGGCCGCUACUGGCAUUGCUGCCAUCCAUUCCCGCUCUGCCACAGCUCUCCUCGGGCAGCCCAAGUUGGCCUGUGGUUUCAAGUGGGCUCUAUUCUGUGACACCUUUAUUUUGAGGCACGCAGUCUUGAUAUCGUUUGUACUUCUGUCGCUUGUAUUUGAUAGCGUGACUGAGGAGUUUCUGUCAGGAGCAUUCUUAGGAGAGUAUCUAAAGUGAAUUAUGUAUUCAGGAUCAAUUUAUUAUUUUCUGUUGGCGUACCAUAUAAGUGGGUGGAUAAAAAGGAACAUAAUACAUAAAACAUAUGUGUUAUCCUAAUGCUAAACCAGAAUAAAUUGAUAACUUCUGUCUUAAUUUUAAUGUGU